UAAAGACGCUAGGGGCGCAUAUGCUGAGACCGAUGCAUCCUCCGGAAGGCAGGAGCAUCGAACCCUUACAACUUGAACCGGGUAAUACCGGCGGAAGGAAGCUUUUUCAGACAUUU
rfam:Firmicutes bacterium CAG:791 genomic scaffold, scf86